UUGACCUCGGAUCAGGUAGGACUACCC
rnacentral:rRNA from 1 species